rnacentral:rRNA from 1 species
GACGAACGCUGGCGGCGUGCUUAACACAUGCAAGUCGAACGGAAAGGCCCUGCUUUUGUGGGGUGCUCGAGUGGCGAACGGGUGAGUAACGCGUGAGUAACCUGCCCUUGACUUUGGGAUAACUUCAGGAAACUGGGGCUAAUACCGGAUAGGAGCUCCUGCUGCAUGGUGGGGGUUGGAAAGUUUCGGCGGUUGGGGAUGGACUCGCGGCUUAUCAGCUUGUUGGUGGGGUAGUGGCUUACCAAGGCUUUGACGGGUAGCCGGCCUGAGAGGGUGACCGGAAACAUUGGGACUGAGAUAAGGCACAGACUACUACGGGAGGCAGCAGUGGGGAAUAUUGCACAAUGGGAGGAAGCAUGAUGCAGCAACGCAGCGUGCGGGAUGACGGGCUUCGGGUUGUAAACCGAUUUCGCCUGUGACGAAGCGUGAGUGACGGUAAUGGGUAAAGAAGCACCGGCUAACUACGUG